AGCAGCCGCGGUAAUUCCAGCUCCAAUAGCGUAUAUUAAAGUUGUUGCAGUUAAAAAGCUCGUAGUUGAAUUUCGGGGUUAGUAGGUUGGUCAUGCCUCUGGUAUGUACCGGUCUCACUGAUUCCUCCUUCCUGAUGAGCCGUAAUGCCAUUAAUUUGGUGUUGCGGGGAAUUUGGACUGUUACUUUGAAAAAAUUAGAGUGUUUAAAGCAAGCUAACGCUUGAAUACAUUAGCAUGGAAUAAUGAAAUAGGACGUUCGAUCCUAUUUUGUUGGUUUCUAGGAUUGACGUAAUGAUUAAUAGGGAUAGUUGGGGGCAUUAGUAUUCAAUUGUCAGAGGUGAAAUUCUUGGAUUUAUUGAAGACUAACUACUGCGAAAGCAUUUGCCAAGGAUGUUUUCAUUAAUCAAGAACGAAAGUUAGGGGAUCGAAGACGAUCAGAUACCGUCGUAGUCUUAACCAUAAACUAUGCCGACUAGGGAUCGGAUGAUGUUAAUUUUUUAAUGACUCA
rnacentral:rRNA from 1 species